rnacentral:misc_RNA from 1 species
GACUCUCUCUAUUUGUCCAUAAAACAGUUAUCCGUGCAUCUCUAUGUGCUUCAGUAACUCUUUGUGACUGUCUUUGCUCUGCCUCCUGUGUCUUCUUUAAGUAGAUUAAAAAAAUCUGUGUUCUUGAUUUUUUUUUCUUGUUGAUUGCAACAGCAAUUUGUUGCCAUAUCUCUUGUUCUAAGGUUGAAAAGGAAUAAAAAAUUACAACUAAACUGAUCCUGGUUACUGUCCUUCCCGUUGUCGACGAGAUCAUUGAAGACCUAAUAAAAAAAAUAGAUUGUUAGACUUCAGUUACGUUUUCGAGUGUGACAUAAGGUUUUGAGAUUCUAGGAUGAGGCUGAGCUGUUGAAAAACAAAAAUACAACGGAAAUCCGUUGAUGGUGCUUCAUGAAAAGGGGAAGAGUUCUACCGAGUAUCUUACAUAGUGGCUGAGCAGUGUGGACAAAGCAAGGAACUGUUGGAAGGCAAAAAAACAAGCCAACAAUGUCAUUUCAUUGUCCCAAUGUGAAGACUCGCUACCAGCUGUGCUAGAAAGCAAAGAAUAAAGCACAACUGGUAAGCUUUGGAAUGAGGGUGAAUUGGAUUCCAUUUCCUACCCUCAAUCUCCAAAGCAGAAAGUUGCCUCCUCUAUAUAUGGCCAUGAGGCCUUGCCUUCCAGGUUAUGAUCAUAUGGCCUUGCUUUUAAAUGUUACAAUUUUGAAGGAAAAAAUAGAUUACCGUGGCAUGGUUGGUGUGGGUAAGAUUAUUAUUAUAUAUAUGAUGGGCAAAUAAGUAAAACAGUAGCCCAUCUAUUUUUGUAAGCAGCCCCUCUAAUUUUGGGAGCUUUAUCCAUCUCAACUACUUUAUUGCUAAGCUGGAUUGCUUUCUUGCUUUCCUGGAAGAAAGCAAGAAAGCAAUCCAGCGUAGUUGGAAGGAUGGAUAUUAUUUAUAGAAUAUGUGCACCCAAAAGUUUGCACCUUGGAGUUAGGGAAGUUUGUUGGAAAUAUUUGAAACUUCAAGUUUUAAGGGGUUGGACGUCUUGCUUUGUGGUUUGUUUGGACAAUCUAAUAUGCACGACGUUAUUUGAGAUAUUGCACCUUCUAAUGCUUCUGAAUAAGUUAUUCUUUGACUUACGGUGAUGUCCAUUGAGCAUUCUUGAAAUGGAAAUUGCAAACAUAUUGCUUUGCUGUCUUUUUGGACAAUCUAAUAUUUACUGUUUGUUGUAUCAAGAUAAUGACAUGGAUGGAUUUGUGAAAAUGCAUGAUAUUGUUCAAGAUACUUCUCUUUUUAUUACAUCCAGAUGGAUAUUCAAAAUGAAAAUGUCUUGCUUUGUAGAUUGUUUGGAUAAUUUAAUUUUCAAAAUGUUUGUUGCAAUUCAGUAACAUUGAUGGAUUUGUGAAAAUGUACGACUUUUGGUAUAUUGAUAUUGGUCUUCCUGUUA